rnacentral:rRNA from 1 species
UACAUGGGGUGCAAACGUUGCUCGGAAUUAUUGGGCGUAAAGCGCACGUAGGCGGUUUGUUAAGUCGGAUGUGAAAUCCCUCGGCUCAACUGAGGAAGUGCAUCCGAAACUGGCAGGCUUGAGUACUAAAGAGGGUCGGCGGAAUUCCCGGUGUAGAGGUGAAAUUCGUAGAUAUGGGAGGAAGCACCGGUGGCGAAGGCGGCGACCUGGGGUA